rnacentral:rRNA from 1 species
AUUGAACGCUGGCGGCAGGCCUAACACAUGCAAGUCGAGCGGUAACACAGGGAGCUUGCUCCUGGGUGACGAGCGGCGGACGGGUGAGUAAUGUCUGGGAAACUGCCUGAUGGAGGGGGAUAACUACUGGAAACGGUAGCUAAUACCGCAUAACGUCGCAAGACCAAAGAGGGGGACCUUCGGGCCUCUUGCCAUCAGAUGUGCCCAGAUGGGAUUAGCUAGUAGGUGGGGUAACGGCUCACCUAGGCGACGAUCCCUAGCUGGUCCGAGAGGAUGACCAGCCACACUGGAACUGAGACACGGUCCAGACUCCUACGGGAGGCAGCAGUGGGGAAUAUUGCACAAUGGGCGAAAGCCUGAUGCAGCCAUGCCGCGUGUAUGAAGAAGGCCUUCGGGUUGUAAAGUACUUUCAGCGGGGAGGAAGGCGUUGAGGUUAAUAACCUCAGCGAUUGACGUUACCCGCAGAAGAAGCACCGGCUAACUCCGUGCCAGCCGCCGCCGUAA